UGGGGAAUUUUGGACAAUGGGCGAAAGCCUGAUCAGCAAUGCCGCGUGUGUGAAGAAGGCCUUCGGGUUGUAAAGCACUUUUGUCCGGAAAGAAAUCCUUGGCUCUAAUACAGUCGGGGGGAUGACGGUACCGGAAGAAUAAGCACCGGCUAACUACGUGCCAGCAGCCGCGGUAAUACGUAGGGUGCAAGCGUUAAUCGGAAUUACUGGGCGUAAAGCGUGCGCAGGCGGUUUGCUAAGACCGAUGUGAAAUCCCCGGGCUCAACCUGGGAACUGCAUUGGUGACUGGCAGGCUAGAGUAUGGCAGAGGGGGGUAGAAUUCCACGUGUAGCAGUGAAAUGCGUAGAGAUGUGGAGGAAUGCCGAUGGCGAAGGCAGCCCCCUGGGCCAAUACUGACGCUCAUGCACGAAAGCGUGGGGGAGCAAACAGGAUUAGAUACCCUGGUAGUCCACGCCCUAAACGAUGUCAACUAGUUGUUGGGGAUUCAUUUCCUUAGUAACGUAGCUAACGCGUGAAGUUGACCGCCUGGGGGAGUACGGUCGCAAGAUUAAAACUCAAAUGAAUUGACGGGG
rnacentral:rRNA from 1 species